AGGAAUUCAAGAAUUUGGGUUCGUACCCAGAUGCUAGAACUUCUUGAAUCCUCUCAUCAAACGCCUAUUUUCUUUGGAAUUUCUUGUUUGAUGGAAACACAGUUACCUACUCUGAUCUUUGUGAUUUUAGGGCUUGUAUGUAAUUUCCGUGCUCUUCUUGCUGAAUCACAGCCACAGAAUGUCCAUGCAUCACUCGCAUUUGUAACCCCAUCGCGUCCUCCGCGGCUGCCACCACCAUCGCCAUCACCGCAAUCUCCGCCUCCUUCUCUUCCAUCUCCAUCUCCUUCUGCACCUCACCCUUCUCCACCUCCACCUCCACCUCCACC
rnacentral:misc_RNA from 1 species